rnacentral:lncRNA from 1 species
UGAAUUAAGGUCUGAAUUUAGCCUGGACUGGUAAUUCAGAUCCAAGCUCAUUAGAGUAAUUGUCGUUGCAGGGGAUUUAGCCUGGACUGGUAAUCCCGACAAUACUCUAUGAGUUUAUAUUACAGGGGAUUUAGCCUGGACUAGUAAUCCCACUGUAAGGAUGAGGUUCGCGGGAGUGUGCUCUCUGAUAUAAAAUGUGUAAGACCAUGGUUGAAAGAUACCAUGGCAACCUGAUAUGAAAUGUGUAAGACCAUGGUUGAAAGAUACCAUGGCAACCUGAUAUGAAAUG